GUGUACUGCACCUACACCAGAUUAUAAAAGGGCAAGGUACCGUUGAUGGGAAGAUGGGGAAGCGCCGGCCAGACGUUGCACAUUUCUGAUGCCCUUGUCAGUGAGAUGGAUAGAGGGUAAUUUUUGCACCCCCCCCCCCCAGUUACGAUCUGUCUUUGAAACGACAUGUGCAACCGACGAGUACCCGAAGAUUGCUGCAGAAUCACUCCCGGCGGGAAGUGUCGCAGCGUGCAGAAAUCGACACCGAUUUUACCAUUUCUGCUCCAUUCAUACAGAGCAGGACGAGUGGGGCUCAAAAGCGGGGACGUGGAGCUAGGGAAACGGUACGCAUUAAUAAGCGAUUUUCGUUUCGUUGAUCCGAGCUCCAGCUAGAUUUUUGGCUAAAUGCGACGAUGCUCAUCUUUCUGCCCUAUCUGGAGUUUUGUUUAUAAAUAGUACCGCCAGGAGGAAGGAGGAGCCCAGCAACAAAGAUACACCCAGCGGCACAUUAGUAGGAUGCAUAUGUGGGGCUUGCUAGUGGGGGGGGGAGGUUCGCAGAUCCACAGCAGUGGCAUUCCCGUUUCGACCUCUGCAUCAUUGAUGGCUCCCUCCCCUCCCCUGUUCUUGCACCACUCUCGCCAUCGCCUACUCCUUCGUUUUCCAAGUCCUGCACUUCCUUCGCCUCCCUCGUCUUAUCAUUCCAAACAUCUCGCUGCCUCUGGCUGUCGAUUUCACAAUUGCUUCGACCCUUCGAUGCAUUGCGCCGCGAGAUUGUGGACCCUGGGGUUGCCGAAAGUUUACGCGAGCCUGUCCACACCUUCAUUUGCCGCUCUCCAACCACUGGAUGGAUGGGUGGAUGGAUAGAUGUGGUUCUGAAUGAAUGAUGUAUAUGUUCGAUGUAUGUUGAUGAAUUAUUGCGUCAAUGGAUUACUUUCGUGGGUUGUAGAUGGAUGGAUGGGUUUAGGGGAGGGUUGACGGAUAGAAUAUGAGAUGGAUAACUUGAUCGCGGGAUGGACGAUUUUAAAUUUUUAUCAUUAUAAUUAAUACUUUUUACUAUUAUAAUAAAUUUAUAAACCAAUCUACACUUUUUAUUGUUAUUAACCUUUAAGUGUAUGUAU